rnacentral:rRNA from 1 species
AGAGACAGCAGUCGCCGCGGUAAUACGAAGGGGGCUAGCGUUGUUCGGAAUUACUGGGCGUAAAGCGCACGCAGGCGGCUCGAUAAAUUAGAAGUGAAAGCCUUGGGCUUAACCUGAGAAUUGCUUUUAAGACUGUCGAGCUAGAAUCCAGAAGAGGGUAGUGGAAUUCCGAGUGUAGAGGUGAAAUUCGUAGAUAUUCGGAAGAACACCAGUGGCGAAGGCGACUACCUGGUCUGGCAUUGACGCUCAUGUGCGAAAGCGUGGGGAGCAAACAGGAUUAGAUACCCGAGUAGUCCCUGUCUCUUAUAU